AGGACGUGAUAAGCUGCGAUAAGUUUCGGGUAGGUGCAAAUAACCGUCUGAUCCGAAAAUUUCCGAAUGGGGCAACCCAGCAAGUUGAAGACUUGUUAUCCUUUUUAGGAGGCAAACCCGGAGAACUGAAACAUCUAAGUACCCGGAGGAAGAGAAAACAAUAGUGAUUCCCGUAGUAGCGGCGAGCGAACUGGGAAUAGCCCAAACCAAUUUUGUUACGGCAAAAUUGGGGUUGUAGGACUACAUUGGUUCAUGUGUGCUGAAGUAGAAUAUACUGGAAAGUAUAACCAUAGAGGGUGAUAGUCCCGUAAACGUAAGAUUGCAUUAUGACGAGUAGUAUCCUGAGUAGCGCGGAACAUGUGAAAUUUUGUGUGAAUCUGCCGGAACCAUCCGGUAAGGCUAAAUACUCCUGUGAGACCGAUAGUGAACUAGUACCGUGAGGGAAAGGUGAAAAGUACCCUGAACAAGGGAGUGAAAUAGAAUCUGAAACCGUACGCUUACAAGCGGUCGGAGCCCAUUAGGGUGACGGCGUGCCUUUUGCAUAAUGAUCCUACGAGUUACUCCUCUCUAGCAAGGUUAAAGACUUAAGGUCUGGAGCCGGAGCGAAAGCAAGUCUGAAUAGGGCGAAUUAGUUAGAGGGGGUAGACGCGAAACCAAGUGAGCUACCCAUGGGCAGGUUGAAGCUUCGUUAAUCCGAAGUGGAGGACCGAACCAGUACACGUUGAAAAGUGUUUGGAUGACUUGUGGGUAGGGGUGAAAGGCUAAUCAAACUUGGAAAUAGCUCGUACUCUCCGAAAUGCAUUUAGGUGCAGCCUUGAUAUUAUUGUCAUAGAGGUAGAGCUACUGAUUGGAUGCGGGGGCUUCACCGCCUACCAAUUCCAGACAAACUCCGAAUGCUAUGAAAUGUUUUUCAGCAGUGAGGGCAUGGGUGCUAAGGUCCAUGUCCGAGAGGGAAACAACCCAGAUCAUCAGCUAAGGUCCCUAAAUUAUAAUUAAGUUGCAGAAAACGAGGUUUGAUUGCUU
rnacentral:rRNA from 1 species